rnacentral:rRNA from 1 species
CCUUGAGUGGCCAGCACGUUUACUUUGAAAAAAUUGGAGUGCUCAAAGCAGGCGCUACAGCCUGAACAAUUGUGCAUGGAAUAAUGGAAUAGGAUCUCGGUUCUAUUUCGUUGGCUUUCGGAGUCGAGGUAAUGAUUAAUAGGGACAGACGGGGGCAUUCGUACUGCGACGUUAGAGGUGAAAUUCUUGGAUCGUCGCAAGACGAACUACUGCGAAAGCAUUUGCCAAGGAUGUUUUCAUUGAUCAAGAACGAAGGAAGGGGGAUCGAAAACGAUUAGAUACCGUUGUAGUCUCUUCUGUAAACUAUGCCAAUUGGGGAUCGGC